rnacentral:rRNA from 1 species
GAAAGUCUGACGGAGCAACGCCGCGUGAGCGAAGAAGGUCUUCGGAUCGUAAAGCUCUGUUGUCAGGGAAGAACAAGUACCGUUCGAACAGGGCGGUACCUUGACGGUACCUGACGAGGAAGCCACGGCUAACUACGUGCCAGCAGCCGCGGUAAUACGUAGGUGGCAAGCGUUGUCCGGAAUUAUUGGGCGUAAAGCGCGCGCAGGCGGUUCCUUAAGUCUGAUGUGAAAUCUCGCGGCUCAACCGCGAGCGGCCAUUGGAAACUGGGGAACUUGAGUGCAGGAGAGGGGAGCGGAAUUCCACGUGUAGCGGUGAAAUGCGUAGAGAUGUGGAGGAACACCAGUGGCGAAGGCGGCUCUCUGGCCUGUAACUGACGCUGAGGCGCGAAAGCGUGGGGAGCGAACAGGAUUAGAUACCCUGGUAGUCCACGCCGUAAACGAUGAGUGCUAAGUGUUAGAGGGUAUCCACCCUUUAGUGCUGCAGCAAACGCAUAA